rnacentral:rRNA from 2 species
UGGUGGGUAGUUUGACUGGGGCGGUCUCCUCCUAAAGAGUAACGGAGGAGCACGAAGGUUGGCUAAUCCUGGUCGGACAUCAGGAGGUUAGUGCAAUGGCAUAAGCCAGCUUGACUGCGAGCGUGACGGCGCGAGCAGGUGCGAAAGCAGGUCAUAGUGAUCCGGUGGUUCUGAAUGGAAGGGCCAUCGCUCAACGGAUAAAAGGUACUCCGGGGAUAACAGGCUGAUACCGCCCAAGAGUUCAUAUCGACGGCGGUGUUUGGCACCUCGAUGUCGGCUCAUCACAUCCUGGGGCUGAAGUAGGUCCCAAGGGUAUGGCUGUUCGCCAUUUAAAGUGGUACGCGAGCUGGGUUUAGAACGUCGUGAGACAGUUCGGUCCCUAUCUGCCGUGGGCGCUGGAGAACUGAGGGGGGCUGCUCCUAGUACGAGAGGACCGGAGUGGACGCAUCACUGGUGUUCGGGUUGUCAUGCCAAUGGCACUGCCCGGUAGCUAAAUGCGGAAGAGAUAAGUGCUGAAAGCAUCUAAGCACGAAACUUGCCCCGAGAUGAGUUCUCCCUGAGACUUAGAGUCUCCUGAAGGAACGUUGAAGACGACGACGUUGAUAGGCCGGGUGUGUAAGCGCAGCGAUGCGUUGAGCUAACCGGUACUAAUGAACCG